GUGUUGUAUGAGAGGAAAGAAGGUUCAUACUCCUAUUGAAAGGCAGUGCCCUUGGGUCUAACAGGCUGCAUUGCAACCUGCUUUGUGGCAGCAAACCACUGAUUUUU
rnacentral:ncRNA from 1 species